AUGGGUGGUAGCAUUCAUCUUGGUAUCGUCCUGCAGUUCUUAGUGAGAAACAGGUCAAAGCUCUAGAUUUGUGGCUCCUGGCUUCUAUUUUACUUGAGUUUGCUCUCCUUUCUUGUGGCUCUUCUGUUUUGUUUUUCUUUUGAUUUUUAUUAAGCUAGAUUUAUCAUGAUUUUUGCUGUUUCACGGUGAGAUCUUGUUGUGCUUGUGUAUUCUGGUGCAAAAUCUUCCAAUCCGGCUGCGACAAAUCUCCUUUGGGCAGCCCGGCCACCUUUUGCACAGAAGGAUGGGCUACGUGUGUUAAAACAUUAGUGGCAAGUGCUUUGCCUCAUUUCCAUCGUGGAGGAUUGGAGUUCAUCUGUUUCCAGUCCUCCCAAUGGAGCAAGCGCACAUCUUGUCUUGCAUCCCUUCAAUUUCUGUCUUUCAUAGGAGUAUCACUUCUGAGAUCUGAUGAAAAAAGAAACCUUUCUGCCAUCUUUUGAGUUUUCCCUGCUUUUCUCGUGAAGGAUGGUUUAUCUCUACUCCUUCCGUCCAAAAAAAAAAAGUACUUAUCUUUAUAUCUGAAAUUCAGUCAGAGGUCAGGAAAACUGGAUCUGAGGUAAUGUUCGUACAUCAGUGGAAGUAAAACUGUGGCACAGUGCAGCUUUGACAAAUGACAUGGAACAUGUAAUUUUGCGUGAUACUACUAACUUGCUAAUAACAUGUAGCAAGGGUUUGAUGACCAAACUUCAUAAGGAAAAAAAUUUCAUACGCUUGCAAGGAGAUAUUGAUUUGCAUAAACUGCUGUUCCGCAGUUGUCAAUAGGGAAGCCAGCAUAGCAGCCACAUAUUUCCAAAUCGCUUUAUAAGUUACAUACAACUAAUGAAAAUCUUGCUUGCGUCUAGGCUAAUUAG
rnacentral:sRNA from 1 species